UGCCUCAUUUGUUUUCCUCAGCUGAGUCCUUUGUGGACAUACCCACCUGAGUCCGGAUUUUUAUCCGAAGCAUCCGUUGCGGAUAAUUUUUGGCUGUAUUGGCAUAUUCCCCAAUACAUGCAUCCUCGAGUCAGUUCGAGUCCUUCCAUGGAUUUAUUUCAUGGAUUCUCUCUGUGUCUCUCAACAAGUUUCAAGUUAUGGCCUGCUCACGCAUUUCUAUCCUUUUACUCCC
rnacentral:lncRNA from 1 species